UUGCAGCCCCCAAGUGGUAGAUCUAGGCGACUUUAAACAAUUCUAGGAUCGCUAUUUAAGUCGGCCCACGCAUGUGGUGCCGGCGACACUUUCGAAUUGACGGGGAUACCCUAAAGCCUGUCGCACCAACUCUGUGUGGGAAACCGCUGGAGGGCCCGUGCUAACUACACGGGGUGGUAACAGAUGACACGGAUACCUCCACGCCUUUUUUGGUGUGGAUACCAUGGGCAAUCCGCAGCGAAGCCUCUAAGUUCGGCCGCCGGAUACGAGGAACGUUCACAGACUAAGUGGAAGUGGGUGGAGCGUUCGCCGCUCUGCUUAAGAUAUAGUCGGUCCCCUUAGGAAACUAAGGGGGUGAGUACACUGCUCGAAAUUUAAACUUGAGCGCGUCUCGGAUAGCGCCUUUUUUGGGGGGGGGGGGACCCCCCCAUUGCCUCGCGGUUCGACGGCUCUUAAAACGUUCCCGUAGGUGAACCUGCGGAAGGAUCAUUACAGAGAGUAAACGCGGAUCAAACCGCGAACUUCUAAACCUUUGACGAUUGACUCAUGUUGCCUCGGCGGGUUCUCCCCGCCAGAGGAUACGUCAAAACUCCUGUUUUAACGGUGUUGUCUGAGCUACAAGCAACGAAUCAAAACUUUUCAACAACGGAUCUCUUGGUUCUGGCAUCGAUGAACAACGCAACCGAAAUGCGAUAAGUAGUGUGAAUUGCAGAAUUCAGCUGAAUCAUCGAAUCUUUGAACGCACAUUGCGCCCCUUGGUAUCCCGAGGGGCAUGCCUGUUCGAGCGUCAUUUCACCACUUCAGGCCUGGCUUGGUGUUGGGCGGACGUCCCCUUUGGGGACGCCCCUCUCAAACGCUCUGCGGCGUGGCAACCGGUUUAAGCUAAGAGAUUCUUUCCGCUCCAAAGUCGGGGCCCCGGCCUUGCUGGGAGACCUACUCUCGCAGGGUGACCUCCCGAAUCAGGGCAG
rnacentral:sRNA from 1 species